rnacentral:rRNA from 1 species
ACGGAAGGCAGCAGUGGGGAAUAUUGGGCAAUGGGCGCAAGCCUGACCCAGCAACGCCGCGUGAAGGAAGAAGGUCUUCGGAUUGUAAACUUUUGUUGUUAGUGAAGAAAAAGGACGGUAGCUAACAAGAAAGCCCCGGCUAACUACGUGCCAGCAGCCGCGGUAAUACGUAGGGGGCAAGCGUUGUCCGGAAUUACUGGGCGUAAAGGGCGCGUAGGCGGUACAUUAAGUUAGAUGUGAAAUUCCCGGGCUUAACCUGGGCGUUGCAUUUAAAACUGAUGAACUUGAGUGCCGGAGAGGAAAGCGGAAUUCCUAGUGUAGCGGUGAAAUGCGUAGAUAUUAGGAGGAACAUCAGUGGCGAAGGCGGCUUUCUGGACGGUAACUGACGCUGAGGCGCGAAAGCGUGGGUAGCAAACAGGAUUAGAUACCCUGGUA